GCUGGGUGUAGUGGCACAUGCCUGUCAUCCCAGUGUCUUGGGAGGCUGAAGCAAGGGGAUUGCAAAUUUGAGGAUAGUCUAGGCAAUUUUGCAAGACUUUGUCUCAA
rnacentral:sRNA from 1 species